rnacentral:tRNA from 1 species
AAGGCUUUAGCUUAAUUAAAGUGUCUGUUUUGCAUGCAGACGAUGUGGGUUAGUAUCCCGCAGGUCUUA